rnacentral:pre_miRNA from 1 species
AUUCUACUCCCUCCGUUGCACAAUACAUGCCUUCUAUUUGUCAAAAUAUAUAUGUAUCUAGACAUGUUUUAGUAUAUAGGUACAUCAAUUUUUGGACAAAUGGAAGUCAAGUAUUUUGGAACGGAGGGAAUACACA